rnacentral:tRNA from 1 species
GGCAGUGUAGUAUAAUGGGUAAGGAAAUGGGCUUGUAACCUAAAGGUCGCAGGUUCGAUUCCUGGGUUGGACACUGCCG